rnacentral:rRNA from 1 species
GACGAACGCUGGCGGCGUGCUUAACACAUGCAAGUCGAACGGAAAGGCCCUGCUUUUGUGGGGUGCUCGAGUGGCGAACGGGUGAGUAACACGUGAGUAACCUGCCCUUGACUUUGGGAUAACUUCAGGAAACUGGGGCUAAUACCGGAUAGGAGCUCCUGCUGCAUGGUGGGGGUUGGAAAGUUUCGGCGGUUGGGGAUGGACUCGCGGCUUAUCAGCUUGUUGGUGGGGUAGUGGCUUACCAAGGCUUUGACGGGUAGCCGGCCUGAGAGGGUGACCGGCGACGUUGGGACUGAGAUACGGACCAGACUCCUACGGGAGGCAGCAGUGGGGAAUAUUGCACAAUGGGCGGAAGCCUGAUGAAGAAACGCCGCGUGCGGGAUGACGGCCUUCGGGUUGUAAACCGCUUUCGCCUGUGACGAAGCGUGAGUGACGGUAAUGGGUAAAGAAGCACCGGCUAACUACGUG